rnacentral:rRNA from 1 species
UGGCGGCGUGCCUAAUACAUGCAAGUCGAGCGCGGGAAGCGGACUCGUCACCCUUCGGGGUGUCUAGUCCGUGGAACGAGCGGCGGGUGGGUGAGUAUCACGUGGGCAACCUGCCUGUAAGAUUGGGAUAACUCGCGGAAACGUGAGCCAAUACCGAAUGAAGUCUUUCACCGCCUGGUGAAAGGAUGAAAGAUGGCUUUUUAGCUAUCACUUACAGAUGGGCCCGCGGCGCAUUAGCUAGUUGGUGGGGUAAAGGCCUACCAAGGCGACGAUGCGUAGCCGACCUGAGAGGGUGAUCGGCCACACUGGGACUGAGACACGGCCCAGACUCCUACGGGAGGCAGCAGUAGGGAAUCUUCCGCAAUGGACGAAAGUCUGACGGAGCAACGCCGCGUGAGUGAUGAAGGUCUUCGGAUCGUAAAACUCUGUUGUCAGGGAAGAACAAGUUGUGUUCUAACAGGACAUGACCUUGACGGUACCUGACCAGAAAGCCCCGGCUAACUACGUGCCAGCCGCUGC